GACGAACGCUGGCGGCGUGCUUAACACAUGCAAGUCGAACGAUGAUGCUGGAGCUUGCUCCAGUUGAUUAGUGGCGAACGGGUGAGUAACACGUGAGCAAUCUGCCCUUGACUCUGGGAUAACUGCGGGAAACUGUAGCUAAUACCGGAUACUUUCACCGGAAGGCAUCUUCUGGUGAUGAAAGAAUUUCGGUCAGGGAUGAGCUCGCGGCCUAUCAGCUUGUUGGUGAGGUAACGGCUCACCAAGGCGACGACGGGUAACCGGCCUGAGAGGGUGACCGGUCACACUGGGACUGAGACACGGCCCAGACUCCUACGGGAGGCAGCAGUGGGGAAUAUUGCACAAUGGGCGCAAGCCUGAAGCAGCAACGCCGCGUGAGGGAUGAAGGCCUUCGGGUUGUAAACCUCUUUUAGCAGGGAAGAAGCGAAAGUGACGGUACCUGCGGAAAAAGCACCGGCUAACUACGUGCCAGCAGCCGCCGCGG
rnacentral:rRNA from 1 species